GUGAAUACGAAAAAUUGCAUUGAUCUUUGAAACUGGUUUUAAGCUAUUGUGGUGAAUACGGCCAUUAGUGACUCAAUCGGAAAACCUGGAUGAUAUCCCCGGUGAUGAAAAUACGAGCGAACAAAAUCCUCCACGGGAGGGUGGUUACGAGAGUCCACAGAUGUAAAGUUUACACAGAUCAACACGAAAAGCCCCAGAAGUCCGCCACUGUCCGGUUCUCUUCUGUAAACUAUCUGAGAUCUAUUUCCCCAGAGAACCACGUCGGCAACUCUGCACUGUUGAGCUCUGCCGAAACUGUGACUUAGGAGCCCGUCACUUCUGAUCUGCUCCGUCCUCCUUCCGUGCGAUCUCUCCCUCUCUCUUCUCGUAACACCCGUCUUCCUUUUUCUCUCACCUUUUUACGUGUCCUCCGUUUAUUUUUUUAUUGCUUUGUUUUUCUCUCUCCCUCGAGUUUGAAUAACAACCUGUUGAAGGAGGGAAACAAAGCGACCAGGUAGCAAACACCAUUAUAACCUACUUAGCUAGGGAGCUAACCCCUCCCUAAAUUAGUCUGACAGCUGCACCUUUAUUACUGA
rnacentral:lncRNA from 1 species